GCCNGUCCCGAAUGCCNCUACCAGGNUUAAAUUUGAUCCUGGCUCAGAGUCAACGCUGNUNAAGUAUGCCUAACACAUGCAAGUCGAACGGCAGCACAGUGAGAGCUUGCUCUCUGGGUGGCGAGUGGCGUGACGGGUGAGGAAUACAUCGGAAUCUACUCUGUCGUGGGGGAUAACGUAGUGGAAACUUACGCUAAUACCUGCAUACGACCUACGUGGUGAAAGCAGUGGUGAUCUUCGGACCUUGCGCGAUUUGAAUGAGCCGAUGUCGGAUUAGCUAGUUGGCGGGGGUAAAGNGCCCAACCAAAGUGCCGACGAUCCGUAGCCUGGUCUUGAGCAGGAUGAAUCCAAGCCCACACUUGGAAAACUGGAAGGGAAACCAAAACCGGGGUUUCCCCA
rnacentral:rRNA from 1 species